rnacentral:lncRNA from 1 species
AGAGAUGAAAAGAUGGGCCAGGAGUCCAGUUUCUAGAAGGCCAAGAAUCGAAGUAGCAAGCUGCAGCCGUUUUCCAGACAAGCAGGAUGUGGGGAUGCAGAAGAAUUCAGGACUGGAGAGGCAAACUCCGAUGUGACUGAGGUCCCACUGCCAAACGGCAGCAUGCUCAGACAGCACCCAGGAAUUUGGGGAAAAAAACUGGUGCUCACAGCUGCCCAGUUAAGGCACAAGUCUCCCACCUGCUGCAGUGCAGGGGUUCUGAGGUGUAUCAGAACCUUGAAGAGAUACUCUGGGAAGAAAGGCCUUCCCAGACUGCCUCUCCGCAGCGCUGUAAGAAUCAGAUUUCUUCUAUGGGGGACUUCCAGGUCUCUUCAGCAUUUUCUCAGUCAUCACUGUAUCCCUGCCACUCAGUGAACCACAGCAACAACUCCCAGCUUCUAGCCAAGAAGCUUGACCCUGAAGCUGGCCUCGAUUCUCUACAGAAGUGAGGCCACAGAGCACAGGUGAAGGGCCACUUACCUGGUAUCAUCUCUGGUCUCAGCUCUGGAGAACUAGCUCCUCUGCCAGCUGCCACAUCCUGUCCACCAAGACCUCCUUGCUGAACCCCACCCCCACCCGGUGCCUCAGGACCCUAACUUGUUUGCUGACCUCCAUGUCCUAUCACCAGAUCCAGCCCUGGGGAGCUGAACUUCCUCUGGCCCACUGCCAGCUCUGGAUCAGUCCACACCCCAGCCAGCCACGGCCCAGCCCUGGGCUGGGUUGGCCUUGGCCAAUGCUCUCUCUAGAGAUCAAGACACAGGCACCUUGUGGAGACAAGGGGGCAAGGACUAGAGAGCCCUACCAUCUCCCCCAGCUACUGAGUGCCUGACUGACAUGAUGCCCCCCACAGACGGGCCUCCCUGCCCCCAAUCUCACCUCCU